ACGUAGGGGGCAAGCGUUGUUCGGAAUUACUGGGCGUAAAGGGCGUGUAGGCGGCGCGGUAUGUUGGACGUGAAAUCCCCGAGUUCAACUCGGGGCGGUCGUUCAAAACUGCCGUGCUAGAGUGUGGGAGAGGGAAGUGGAAUUCCCGGUGUAGCGGUGAAAUGCGUAGAUAUCGGGAAGAACACCUGUGGCGAAGGCGGCUUCCUGGCCCGCAACUGACGCUGAGGCGCGAAAGCUAGGGGAGCAAACAGGA
rnacentral:rRNA from 1 species